rnacentral:rRNA from 1 species
UACGUAGGGGGCAAGCGUUGUCCGGAAUCAUUGGGCGUAAAGAGCGUGUAGGCGGCCCGGUAAGUCCGCUGUGAAAGUCGGGGGCUCAACCCUCGAAUGCCGGUGGAUACUGUCGGGCUAGAGUGCGGAAGAGGCGAGUGGAAUUCCUGGUGUAGCGGUGAAAUGCGCAGAUAUCAGGAGGAACACCGAUUGCGAAGGCAGCUCGCUGGGACGUAACUGACGCUGAGACGCGAAAGCGUGGGGAGCGAACAGG